rnacentral:lncRNA from 1 species
UGGCGGUCACGCCGGUGUGGGCAGCCGCCGCCACUCGCCCGCCGACUAGCCAGCUAACACGGCAAUAAAUUAAAACCAGUUACUAUUAACCUUGUACGUUUAAAGUGUUAACAAUUAUAAUCGUAAAUACGUCAAGGAAGUCUCAUUUUCACAUCCUGGAACACCUUCGCCUGACAAUAUUCCCCAUCUUUUGGGCCUUCGCGCCGGAUACUGUGGACUUUCAUUUAGUUAAAUCGUGACAUAUUGUAUUUUGGAUCUUCAAUUUAGGUUUGUGGAUUUAGAACCUCCCAAGAUCCCGCUGAUUCAAGCGCAAAAUCUCAGGGAAAAUCAGGGAAGAAUCAUUAUUUUACGUUCAUUUAAAACUACCUACUUAAAUACCUACAUCAGAAACCAGUGACACUAGUGAAAGUUAUUCAAUGACAGGCGUUACUGUGCUAGCACAACAUUAGUCACAGGCGCAGUCAAAUCAACAAUCAACGUUAAUAUUGCAGAGAAAAUACGAAGCAGCGCAGUGAUAAUCAUUAUAAUACAUAAUUAUCAAUAUUUGUACUAAGAAGGUUAAAGAAGAAGUUAAUAUUAUAAAAAGAAAGAUCAAGAAUCGAGAACAGUCUGGAGAGGUGUAACAUUUUCAAUGCGCAAGCGUGGAUCUACACACCUAUCCCGGCGUACCGUAUCAGCCGGCGUCCACGUGAUCGCUGCAACUGAGGCGGCUUCCAGUCAGCUGUUCUUGCGGAUCGCUUGCUACCUAUCCACCUGCUAGUUCUGCACUGCACGCUUACAUUUAAGACUUGAUCGCAAAAAGGAAUACCUGUACUGCGAAAUCUUCGAGAACAAAACUUCACGUCAGUUGGCAAGAGACACGAGUUGGUCAGCAGGUUUAAUUUAGCACAAAGCGUGAACGAUGAAUCACCGCCUUCGGUAUCUGGUAAUGCUUCAGGUAGGACAAGCUUAUCUUUACCUACAAUGUUAUUACCUACGUAUUCCGGCUGGACCGACAGCUGGUUACAGUAUCACGAUACUUACGUUUCGCUUAUUCAUUGUAACAAUAAUAUAAUUAAAUAAAUAAAUUCCAUUACUUGCGAGCAUCGCUUAAUUAGCUAAAAUGUUACGACUUACAACAUACUCAACAUGAAUUGCACUCGAAAGAUUAAAUCGUGAGUCCAUUCAUAUUACAAAGCAUUCUACCGUAAUCAUAUGCUCACACGUUGAAUCGUACAUCACAAACGUUGAUUGUUUUAUCAUAGAAAUAAUACAAAUGUUAAGUAAUGUAAUAGUACAGUUUACUGCCACUUUAUUAACUACAUGGACCAUCAACGUUAGUUGGAAAGAUUUUUUUAAUUACAAUCGGUCACUUUGCCUUCAAAAUUUACUAUAUUCUUAUA